ACAUUUGUGAACUGUGCCUACGUGAAGUGGGGCACACGAGUACAAGACACAUUCACGUAUGCCAAGGUCCUGGCAUUCAUUGCCAUCAUUAUCAUGGGCCUUGUUAAACUGUGCCAGGGACACACUGAGCACUUUCAGGAUGCCUUUAAAGGUUCCUCGUGGAACAUGGGAGACCUCUCUCUUGUCCUGUACUCUGCCCUCUUCUCUUACUCAGGUUGGGACACCCUUAAAUUUGUAACAGAAGAAAUCAAAAACCCAGAAAGGAAUUUGCCCUUGGCCAUUGGGAUUUCUAUGCCAAUUGUGACACUCAUCUACAUCUUGACCAAUGUGGCCUAUUACACAGUGCUGAACUUUCAGGAUGUCCAUAAGAGUGACGCUGUGGCUGUGACAUUUGCUGACCAGACAUUUGGCAUGUUCAGUUGGACCAUCCCCAUUGCCGUUGCUCUGUCCUGCUUUGGAGGCCUAAAUGCAUCCAUCUUUGCUUCAUCAAGGUUGUUUUUCGUGGGCUCUGGUGAGGGCCACCUCCCGAACCUUCUGUCCAUGAUCCACAUUGAGCGCUUUACACCUGUGCCUGCGUUACUGUUCAAUUGCACCAUGACACUUAUCUACCUCGUUGUGAAGGACGUUUUCCUGCUCAUCAACUACUUCAGCUUCAGCUACUGGUUCUUCGUGGGCUUAUCUGUUGUUGGACAGCUCUACCUUCGCUGGAAAGAGCCUGACUGGCCUCGACCUCUCAAG